GGGCCGUUAGCUCAACGGGCAGAGCAGUGGACUUUUAAUCCACGGGUUCAGGGUUCGAGUCCCUGGCGGCCCACCG
rnacentral:tRNA from 1 species